GCAAGCGUUGUUCGGAUUUACUGGGCGUAAAGGGCGCGUAGGCGGCCACCGCAAGUCGACUGUGAAAUCUCCGGGCUUAACCCGGAAAGGUCAGCCGAUACUGCGGGGCUAGAGUGCAGAAGGGGCAACUGGAAUUCUCGGUGUAGCGGUGAAAUGCGUAGAUAUCGAGAGGAACACCUGCGGCGAAGGCGGGUUGCUGGGCUGACACUGACGCUGAGGCGCGAAAGCUAGGGGAGCGAACGGG
rnacentral:rRNA from 1 species